CUAUGUCAACAUUUUGAGCUCGAUAGGCUUCUGCUUGACUACAUCAACGGAUCAUAGCCAGAAAAUACGACGAUAUGUAGAUGGCUUCUCGUGAGAAGAGCAGUAUGAACACAUGAGCCCGCCAUGGGGACUAUAGGGCUGUUCGUUUGGUUGCCGCAGGUACCGGCGGCAGCGGCAGCGUCAACAUUCUGCGUCAACCUUUGUUCGUUUCGUUGACGCAGGAACCGACGGCAGCGGCAGCGUCCGAACGCUGCGUCCUGCGGCUGACGCCGAUAAAACCUGCGGUCGCGAUAUGAUAUGCGGCAGCGGCAGCGUCAGCGUCAGCGAAACGAACAACAACUGUCCUCAUUGACGCUGCCGCCGCCGCUGACGCUGCCGCUGCCGCUGCCGCCGAAACCUGCGGCAACCAAACGAACAGGGCUUAUGAGAGGCAAACAUUUUGGUCUCGCGCAUUCUUUUUUAUUUAUCUUUUUUAUAAUGGGCAUUUUUAGUGAGGCUGGCCUGAGGAAACGAUAGAUACUGUUUGUGUGUUAUAGAGAGAUAAGAAGAUUAUGCUAAAAUUCUUGAAUUUGAUUGAUGCUAAUGAAAACUUCUGAGUUUUUAGUACCUUUCGUUUUCAGUAAGCUUUUUUAUUCUUUGCUUGUUGUGCUUAUCAAACAAAAACCAUCUUCUAUCUUUGUAUAAAAAAAUCAAAUAUAUAAAAAAAAAUCAAAUAUAUUAUAUUGGAG
rnacentral:lncRNA from 1 species